GAUACUCUCUGUCAAAAUCUCAUUUUAAAGUCGGAUUUAGAAUUUUGAGAAUGGUUCCUACACUUCCUUUGUUAAUUAUUUUUUGUUAAAUGUAACAAACUGUAUCGUUAACUUUGUUGCUGCCUGGCUUGUUUGGCAAAUGAAUGUCGGAGCCGUUGCAUUCAACAUUUUUAGCAUACCGUCACAUCCUAACGUUAAUUUACUCGACGUGGAGGAGCAGGCAGAGCAAUUGUCAAGAAAAGAAGACGCCAUUAACGUUACGACUUUUUAUUUAAAAGAGAUUAUAUGAGCAGAAGAUCUGACAACACGGAGUUCUUCAAGGAUAACGCACCUUUUCUGCCAAACGAGGUCAUAAUUGCUGCUGUACUUUGCGUACCAAGCCCCCCCUGCAUUUUUAUCACGGAUUGCUGUCACACAAGUUACCAUUUCCUCCCCCGUUGUGGUCGGCCGAGCUACACAUUCUCUUUGUUUUAUUUUAAACAUAAAUAUCCAGAGGAGAAUGGCACCUACGCUGGAAUUCAUUCAAAUUCUUCCUGUUAAGAAAUCCUGACCGAGCGUCAAUGGUUCAGAUGAAUGGAAUCUACGCUUCCAAGACUCAUGUAUGAACUACUUCUAGAUUCCAAGGUUGUUGUUUUUUUUUUUGUUUUUUUCAAAUCUCAAUUUAGGACUUGGACUGAACAUGCAGCAAAAAAAAAAAAAAAAGUUUUCUCAAACGGGCACAUGGCAAAAGAUACUAAAAGCACACAAACACUUGGAGCCCUGAUCUUAAUUUAGAUUGUAUAGUUCUCUUAGUUUAACAUUAAAAUGUCAGGAAUGAGUGCAUAAAUCUUUGUUCUUUAUUUUCAAAUGCUGUACAAGCUUUUUAUUUAAUUUUGUUUAUGUCAAUUGUAGAUGCAGAUAAUUUAGCAUGAAUAAAAGGUAAGUUAAUCUAACUAGGUUUAGUUCACCCGUAAUAUUAUAUGAAAAGUCUCAUUCCAAUCCUAUUAGACUUUUGUUCAUUUUUGGAACACUAAUGAAGAUCCAUUUUAAUGAAAUCUGACAGCUAUACUGUAUUAGACCUUGAAAUGGUAGUUGCAUAGGCUGUCAAUGGAGGGACAGAAAGCAGAGAUUUCAUAAAAUAUACUCUUCAUUUGUGUUUCAAAGAUGAAUGGAAAUCGUAUGGAUUUGGAACGGUAUGAGGGAAAGUAACUGAUGUCAGAAUUCACAUGUUGUGCUAUUAAAUAAUGUGUUCUAUAGGAAAAUUAUGUAAUUUCACUUGACUAUUGACUAUUAGUCUGUAGCAAUUGUUAAU